rnacentral:rRNA from 1 species
UUUAACCAAAAAAGCCAGGCCUAACUACGUUCCAGCAGCCGCGGUAAUACGUAGGUGGCAAGCGUUGUCCGGAUUUAUUGGGCGUAAAGCGAGCCCAGGCGGUUUUUUAAGUCUGAUGUGAAAACCUUCGGCUCAACCGAAGAAGUGCAUCGGAAACUGGGAAACUUGAGUCCAGAAGAGGACAGUGGAACUCCAUGUGUAGCGGUGAAAUGCGUAGAUAUAUGGAAGAACACCAGUGGCGAAGGCGGCUGUCUGGUCUGUAACUGACGCUGAGGCUCGAAAGUAUGGGUAGCAAACAGGAUUAGAUACCCUGGUAGUCCAUACCGUAAACGAUGAAUGCUAAGUGUUGGAGGGUUUCCGCCCUUCAGUGCUGCAGCUAACGCAUUAAGCAUUCCGCCUGGGGAGUACGGCCGCAAGGCUGAAACUCAAAGGAAUUGACGGGGGCCCGCACAAGCGGUGGAGCAUGUGGUUUAAUUCGAAGCUACGCGAAGAACCUUACCAGGUCUUGACAUACUAUGCAAAUCUAAGAGAUUAGACGUUCCCUUCGGGGACAUGGAUACAGGUGGUGCAUGGUUGUCGUCAGCUCGUGUCGUGAGAUGUUGGGUUAAGUCCCGCAACGAGCGCAACCCUUAUUAUCAGUUGCCAGCAUUAAGUUGGGCACUCUGGUGAGACUGCCGGUGACAAACCGGAGGAAGGUGGGGAUGACGUCAAAUCAUCAUGCCCCUUAUGACCUGGGCUACACACGUGCUACAAUGGAUGGUACAACGAGUUGCGAACUCGCGAGAGUAAGCUAAUCUCUUAAAGCCAUUCUCAGUUCGGAUUGUAGGCUGCAACUCGCCUACAUGAAGUCGGAAUCGCUAGUAAUCGCGGAUCAGCAUGCCGCGGUGAAUACGUUCCCGGGCCUUGUACACACCGCCCGUCACACCAUGAGAGUUUGUAACACCCAAAGUCGGUGGGGUAACCUUUUAGGAACCAGCCGCCUAAGGUGACAGAGAUUGCG